GCAAAGGCUUUGUGACAACCCCACCCCCAUAAUCUUGGAAAAGCAUUGAGCAUUUGAAUCCAUAUCCUUGAACAUAGAAAGACUUUUUUAAUAUAUGCAAAUGCUUGCUGCAUUUUUUUAAUGGUAAAGUGAUGUGGCUCAGGUUCGACUUCCU